GUCCUGUUCCUGUUCCAAGACCGAGUUCCACAUCUCAGACUUCUCUCCGGGGCCCCUGCCUUACCUGUCACCUGCAAAUUCAGCAUCUUGUCUUGAAAAAUUCAUGUGCGCCACAUUGUGUAUUAGUUUUGAAACAGUGAUCUCAACAUUUGUACAACUAUCAAGCUCCACAAAACCAGGUCUUUCCCUGCCUCAGGUGCAGACAAAGAAGAGGUAACCAGCUCCACCCAUCCAUGUAUUACAAUGAACACCCACUGAGACUCCUCACGUAUUACAAUGAAGAUUGUCCAGUGCAAACAGCGGACUAAAGAAAGCACGAUUUCCAUGGCUGUGCCCCACAAUUCCUAUCACUGAACCAUGUAGCAAAUCUCAAGCUGGGAUA